rnacentral:lncRNA from 12 species
UGAAGCCUUGGUAGACUGUUCCUUCCUUUGUUGACUCUAAGAAACGUGAAAGUGUUAUGUUUGCUGUCUCCUUGGAGUGAUGUCAAGAUAUGAGUGGUAGAGGAUCAGAGUGAAGGAGCAGGAAGGAGAAACCCUGAGGCCUUGCCGAGGGAUGUUACUGUUUUCUCACAAAGAAUCUGAAAUAAGCAAAGCUUCCUAUGCACCAACAAGACACUGGAAGUCAGUGAGAUGGCUGCCAACAUCAUAAGAUGGGCACAUGGGGGUGAUCUAGGGUAUGGAAGCCUGACAAAGCUGAUGAAAGCUGGUUCUCCCUUGAAGAAUGCAUUUUGGAUGAAAGAAAAAAAAAUGACCAUUAAUAGGCUUCAGUCCUCUUUUUUUUUCUUGUUUCAGAACAUUCUGUCUUACCAGAGGGGCUGGAAGAGAAGUGAGACCAAUAAUUUGGAGCAGAGACCCUUGAUGUACAAUCGUGAUGAAUGGGGAAAGUCUUCUGGAUUUGGUUAUUAAAAGGAGCUACUUUUUGAAAGCCUUCUUUAGCUCAUAGAAAUGUUUUCUGAUUUCAUGGAAGCCUUUGAUUCAUGCAUUCAUUUUUGUUUUGUUUUACAUCAAGGAGCUAGGUUCAGUUAAGUAUACUUUCAUCUAUUUUUAGUAUAUAUAUUUAAGUGAGGCAUCAAUCUUUAAAUACGUACUUGUCUUUGAAAAUUGCACCAUGUAUAAGUCUUGGCUAAUGUGGUUAUUUAUUUAUUUAUUUAUUUAUUUUUUGCUAAUGUGGUUAUUAAUGGAGAUAGACUCUUCGUUGCUACUCCCAAUUUAUACUUGCUUUGGUUGAUAAGAAAGACAGGGCAGAGUGGUUAAGACUACCAGCUUUUGGGUGCAAAAUAAUUCAAGAACCAGCAAGGGCAGCUUUGGAGUGAGAAAGACUUGAGUUUGAAUCCUUCUCCCACCUUUUUAAAAACAACCUGUCCUUGCUUAAAGCACCUAACAUCAUUAAGCUUCAGUGCUACUAUUCACAGUGUUAAAGUAGUUUUUGUGUGCUUAGAAGGUACUAGAUGGAUGGAGACUUGUUGAGCUGGUUGGAACAAAGGCUUUGUUUCCAGAGCAACUAACAAUGUGGGAUAGUGGACAGAGCCAGAUAAUGGAAGCUCUUGAAUACCUAUGAGGAGUUUGGAGUCUAGGGCCUAAGUCUGGAGCCCAAGUUUGUAGACUAAGGUGAAGAAUAAGAACAGUUGAGCAGGGGACAACCUUAAAAGAGGGUACUUUAAGCACAGUGAUGAAGUAGCACUGUGUGACAUGGCUCAGGCAUGAGUAGCUAUCAUAGUAAUCCAUAGGAGAGGUAACAUUGGUCUGAAUUUGAUCAUGGCUAUAGAAUCAAAAAAGGAGAAAUAUCAUUUAAACAAUAUCACCAGAUGUGGCUUUCAUAUGAAUAGACUCCUUCUGAAAUUAUGUUUUUGGGAAAGCUACACAGCAGCGAAUCUCAGAAUUUUAGGAUUAUUUUAAAGGUAAUUUAAGAUUUUGAAGAGAGAAAAGAGAGCUGAGGACUGAGAACAUAGUACUGUCUAACAAUUAAGAAUUGGGAAAAUAUACUAGAUGGAAUGGCGAAAGACUACAAUAUUCUAAUAAGCCUUUUUUUGUUUAAACAUUUCAAGGUAUUUUUAUACCCCUUAUCUCCUUAAUGCUAUUGAUAUGUUAAUUCAUAUCCCAUGUAUCUUUUAGGAAAGCAACAGAUUUCCUCAACUUGUAUUUCCCAUUUUUAUAUGUCACUUUAGGGUUUAUUUCUCCUAAGAGGUUUUCAUUACUUGGCUUCACUCUUCUGUGCCUGCCUCUGAGUUGAUGUGGGGUUAUAUAUAGCAGAACGAGACUGAGAACAUUGUGAUCUGGUGUAAAAUAUGAAGUGCAUAUCCUUGUCAGUUUUGUAUAUGUCUAUAUCAGCAAGGAGUCAGAACCUAUUUCAUUUUCUUCUUAAUGGGUUGUGUGAUUUUCAUUUUGUUAAAAAUAAGACUGUCAGCAUGUACAGGGCUGGAGCCAUCUUCUGUUGUUGCUUCUGUCCAAUAAAAUCUUAUAUUAUACCUUAUGAUUCUGUAUC